AAAAACAUGUCUUUUUGAUUAUAAUUUAAGGUCUAAUCUGCUCAAUGAGGGUUUAAAUUGCCGCGGUAUUUUGACCGUGCAAAGGUAGCAUAAUAAUUAGUUUUUUUAUUGAAAGCUGGAAUGAAUGAUUGGACGAGGGAGCAGCUGUCUCUGGAAAAUUUAUUUUUGAAUUUAACUUUUGAGUAAAAAGGCUCAAAUUUAAUUUAAAGACGAGAAGACCCUAUAGAGUUUAAUAUUUUAUUUAAUAAGAUGUUUUUGGUUAUAAAUUUUUUUAUUAGAUUUAUUAUUUAGUUGGGGUGACUUAAAGAUUAAAUUAACUCUUUAAAGUUUUAAUCAUUGAUAUGUGAAUUAUGAAUCUAGUUUUUCUAAAUAUAAGAUAAAUUACCUUAGGGAUAACAGCGUAAUUUUUUUUUAGAGUUCUUAUUGUAAAAAAAGUUUGCGACCUCGAUGUUGGAUUAAAAUUAAUUUUUGGUGCAGAAGCUAAAAAUAUAGGUCUGUUCGACCUUUAAAUUUUUACAUGAUCUGA
rnacentral:rRNA from 1 species